rnacentral:rRNA from 1 species
CACAACGUGGAAGAUUAGUAGCCAGUCUGCACCCCUAAACACCUCUAGUUGACCUCGGAUCAGUAGGAAUUUCCGCUGAACUUAAGCAUUUAAUAAGCCGGAGAG